UAUUGCACAAUGGGGGAAACCCUGAUGCAGCGACGCCGCGUGAGUGAAGAAGUAGUUCGGUAUGUAAAGCUCUAUCAGCAGGGAAGAAAAUGACGGUACCUGAUUAAGAAGCCCCGGCUAACUACGUGACAGGAACCGCGGUAAUACGUAGGGGGCAAGCGUUAUCCGGAUUUACUGGGUGUAAAGGGAGCGUAGACGGCAGAACAAGUCUGGAGUGAAAUGCCGGGGCUUAACCCCGGAACUGCCUUGGAAACUGUGCAGCUAGAGUGCAGGAGAGGUAAGUGGAAUUCCUAGUGUAGCGGUGAAAUGCGUAGAUAUUAGGAGGAACACCAGUGGCGAAGGCGGCUCACUGGACUGUAACUGACGUUGAGGCUCGAAAGCGUGGGGAGCAAACAGG
rnacentral:rRNA from 1 species